AAAUAUGCAUGUUAUUUGGCAUGUGCGACCCUAUAUCAUUAAACGUUGAAUGUCUUGUUGAUUAUUCAAUAAAAACAAGUAAUAAGGUCAUAGCAUUAUCAUCAAAAUAGAGAUUGGGAAAGACUUAAGAGGAGAUGAUGGCCAGUGGCUCGAUCACUGCGUGUGUAUAUGUAAGAACUAGAAAUAGGAGUGUGAAGAUAAUACCGGGAAUUCACCAGAAAACUAAGUUAUGUCUCCACUGAAACAAAGAGGAACCUUUUGCCAUUUUACGCUGCUGCAUGUUCCAAAAUACUUACAACAAGCAAUACUUAUAGAUAUAUUUUAUCCAUAUUAAAACAAUAUAAUCUGAGGAGCAUUCGGGUCUUGUUUCGAUUUAAAGGUUAUUUGUUGCAACAGCAAUAAAAACUUUCUUGGUGUUGC